GCAGCGACAGAAACAGGAAGUCCAAAAGCAUGUUUUGUCUUUUAUUGGAGUCAGACUGCAGCCCACAGACAUCCAGGUAUUAGACGGUGACACACAUCUCUGUACACCUUCAGAACAUAAAGAGCUCAGAGGAAACAGCACUCUGGAAAUCAAUGUUUGCUUGAUUUGUUGGUCGAUGACAGGGGGGAUACAUUUUCAUUAAUAUUAUAUGGGGGAGAAAUUGUAACAUUCAUGCAAUGUAUUAUAUCGAUCACCUUUUUAUAAUCUCAGUCUAACUAAACAACAGCAUGAAAUCACAAACUUUGAUUUUGGUGCCGGCGGCCCCGUUCAGAGCGAUCAAAGUAUUUCCAACAGAGAGCUCGUUCUAGUUAAUAAAUAAUCAUUAUUUAUGUUUUUAUAUGUUCAGUAGUACAGGACAAACCAGACCUUAGACAGCAUCACACACAGGUUCCAUUUACUUCAAUAACGUACUGAACUUUACAACCAAUACCACGGUAGUGCACAUAGGCCAGAGCACAAAACAUAGAGAAUGCUUGUAUUUUUAUUAUCAUCUACCACAGAAGAGACCGAAACACUGAGAAUAAUAAUACAACCUGACCUGACAGUACCCCAAAUUACCCAGUAGUACCCCAGCAGUACCCAAUACCACCAUCAAUAACCCGGUUUCACCUCAUUACAGUCAACAGGUUACUAGCAGAUUUAUAGAAACUGACUGGCAUUACUUUCACAUUUUGGUUUCUCUUUUCCUUCUUUAUGGUGACUUUAUGGUGAGUUCACUGUCGUGGAGAAUGUCUUUAUAUUCACAUCAUAUGAGGAUGAAUCAAAUGUUUUGUUAUUAAAUACACUUACUGGUACCAAACAAUACCUGAAAGUAUUUAACACUCAUUCUGAUUUUUUUCCUGAACCAAAAUCCUAAAAGGAAAUUUUACAGUUUCAUCCCAAGUUCAGAUCAUAUACUCACAUAACUAUGCUGGCACAGUCCGGUGAAUAAAAUAUUUUUGUAAAAAAAAAAAAGUCGUGCUUGAAGUCCUCAACCGAUUGGUUAACUUUGGUUUCCAAGACUCUAAAAUGAUCUUAAUCAUUUUAAUACUCAGACUGCAGCAGACAGAAAUUGGCCUCAUAUCCAUUUGACUGCAUCCAUAAUCUGCAUUAUCCCCUGAUUAUGAUUUCAGACGGCAGGUAAAGAGCCAUGGUUCCACCCUGCAGCACACGUGUGUGCGUGUGACCGGCUCGAUCUCUGGCUGGCCGCUCACAUUUUGCAGAAACAACGAGUCGACUUUAAGAAUGACGUAGUAUUCAACAUACGAGAUCUAUACAACAGUUCCAUGCAUUAUUUCCAUGAUUACUUUAGGACUCUUGUCCCGUUGCUGCAGAGCUUCUCUGCUCUGAUAACGCUGAUAAUAUAUUCAGCAGAAGGACGUUUUGUUUUAGUGGAAACGAUUGAACUUAAACGCGUGUUCAGGAAAAUAACUUUUCUGCACCACAAAUUUGAACUUACUGGACAUUUAUCCUCAUCCCCCCCCCCAACGCGGCUCGCCUGCACGCUUUACACGUUCUCACUCACACACACACACACACACUAAAACUACAGUGGUUCACACGACGCGGGCCUGUCAGUGACCAAUGUCCACCCGACCGUGUCCCCGUUACCAUGGCAACAAAUCCAGAACCGGCCUCCCGCGGAGGCAGAACAGCAGGAUCGAUGAAUUAGCCGGCCAGAGCGAUCCAUUAAGGUCUUUCUUCCGCCUCUGACUGCAC
ensembl:lncRNA